ACGAACGCUGGCGGCGUGCCUAAUACAUGCAAGUCGAACGAAACUUUCUUACACCGAAUGCUUGCAUUCACCGUAAGAAGUUGAGUGGCGGACGGGUGAGUAACACGUGGGUAACCUGCCUAAAAGAAGGGGAUAACACUUGGAAACAGGUGCUAAUACCGUAUAUCUCUAAGGAUCGCAUGAUCCUUAGAUGAAAGAUGGUUCUGCUAUCGCUUUUAGAUGGACCCGCGGCGUAUUAACUAGUUGGUGGGGUAACGGCCUACCAAGGUGAUGAUACGUAGCCGAACUGAGAGGUUGAUCGGCCACAUUGGGACUGAGACACGGCCCAAACUCCUACGGGAGGCAGCAGUAGGGAAUCUUCCACAAUGGACGCAAGUCUGAUGGAGCAACGCCGCGUGAGUGAAGAAGGUCUUCGGAUCGUAAAACUCUGUUGUUAGAGAAGAACACGAGUGAGAGUAACUGUUCAUUCGAUGACGGUAUCUAACCAGCAAGUCACGGCUAACUACGUGCCAGCAGCCGCGGUAAUACGUAGGUGGCAAGCGUUGUCCGGAUUUAUUGGGCGUAAAGGGAACGCAGGCGGUCUUUUAAGUCUGAUGUGAAAGCCUUCGGCUUAACCGGAGUAGUGCAUUGGAAACUGGAAGACUUGAGUGCAGAAGAGGAGAGUGGAACUCCAUGUGUAGCGGUGAAAUGCGUAGAUAUAUGGAAGAACACCAGUGGCGAAAGCGGCUCUCUGGUCUGUAACUGACGCUGAGGUUCGAAAGCGUGGGUAGCAAACAGGAUUAGAUACCCUGGUAGUCCACGCCGUAAACGAUGAAUGCUAGGUGUUGGAGGGUUUCCGCCCUUCAGUGCCGCAGCUAACGCAAUAAGCAUUCCGCCUGGGGAGUACGACCGCAAGGUUGAAACUCAAAGGAAUUGACGGGGGCCCGCACAAGCGGUGGAGCAUGUGGUUUAAUUCGAAGCAACGCGAAGAACCUUACCAGGUCUUGACAUUGAUGGACAGAACUAGAGAUAGUUCCUCUUCUUCGGAAGCCAGAAAACAGGUGGUGCACGGUUGUCGUCAGCUCGUGUCGUGAGAUGUUGGGUUAAGUCCCGCAACGAGCGCAACCCUUGUUGUCAGUUGCCAGCAUUAAGUUGGGCACUCUGGCGAGACUGCCGGUGACAAACCGGAGGAAGGUGGGGACGACGUCAAGUCAUCAUGCCCCUUAUGACCUGGGCUACACACGUGCUACAAUGGACGGUACAACGAGUCGCGAGACCGCGAGGUUUAGCUAAUCUCUUAAAGCCGUUCUCAGUUCGGAUUGUAGGCUGCAACUCGCCUACAUGAAGUCGGAAUCGCUAGUAAUCGCGAAUCAGCAUGUCGCGGUGAAUACGUUCCCGGGCCUUGUACACACCGCCCGUCACACCAUGAGAGUUUGUAACACCCAAAGCCGGUGGGGUAACCGCAAGGAGCCAGCCGUCUAAGGUGGGACAGAUGAUUGGGGUG
rnacentral:rRNA from 1 species